UACAGAGGGGGCAAGCGUUGUUCGGAAUUACUGGGCGUAAAGGGCGCGUAGGCGGCCCGCUAAGUCGAACGUGAAAUCCCCGGGCUCAACCCGGGAACUGCGUCCGAUACUGGUGGGCUUGAAUCCGGGAGAGGGAUGCGGAAUUCCAGGUGUAGCGGUGAAAUGCGUAGAUAUCGUAAGGAAGACCAGUGGCGAAGGCGGGUCUCUGGACAGUUCCUGACGCUGAGGCACGAAGGCCAGGGGAGCAAACGGG
rnacentral:rRNA from 1 species